CACUCCUACGGGAGGCAGCAGUGGGGAAUUUUGGACAAUGGGCGAAAGCCUGAUCCAGCCAUGCCGCGUGCAGGAUGAAGGCCUUCGGGUUGUAAACUGCUUUUGUACGGAACGAAACGGCCUUUUCUAAUAAAGAGGGCUAAUGACGGUACCGUAAGAAUAAGCACCGGCUAACUACGUGCCAGCAGCCGCGGUAAUACGUAGGGUGCAAGCGUUAAUCGGAAUUACUGGGUGUAAAGCGUGCGCAGGCGGUUAUGUAAGACAGUUGUGAAAUCCCCGGGCUCAACCUGGGAACUGCAUCUGUGACUGCAUAGCUAGAGUACGGUAGAGGGGGAUGGAAUUCCGCGUGUAGCAGUGAAAUGCGUAGAUAUGCGGAGGAACACCGAUGGCGAAGGCAAUCCCCUGGACCUGUACUGACGCUCAUGCACGAAAGCGUGGGGAGCAAACAGGAUUAGAAACCCUGGUAGUCCCAU
rnacentral:rRNA from 1 species